GAUGAAGAACGCAGCGAAAUGCGAUAAGUAGUGUGAAUUGCAGAAUUCAGUGAAUCAUCGAAUCUUUGAACGCACAUUGCGCCCUUUGGUAUUCCUUAGGGCAUGCCUGUUCGAGCGUCAUUUAAACCUUCAAGCUAAGCUUGGUGUUGGGUGACUGUCCGCUUCACUGCGGACUCGCCUCAAAAUUAUUGGCGGCCGGUACAUUGGCUUCGAGCGCAGCAGAAACGCGAACUCGGGCCCGUCGUAUUGGCUCCCAGAAGCUAUCUUCACAAUUUUGACCUCGGAUCAGGUAGGGAUACCCGCUGAACCUAAGCAUAUCAAUAAGCGGAGGA
rnacentral:misc_RNA from 1 species